UGGCACAGGUAGCAUUUUCGCUUGGUAACAGAAGCAAUGGGAGCUGUUCGGGCUGUGCUUGUUUGCGCGCUGACUGUUUGUCUUGCCAAAGGCUCUUGUCUGCCAGUUGGCGGCACAAAUGAAACACCUGUUGAUGGAUUGCAGAGGCAAGUGAGAGAUUUGCUCCAGCAAGAUGUCACAACAGUCGGACUGAAGAGAGACUGGGCUCUAAAGGCCCCGACAUUGAGACUCAGUUAGUGACCCAAGGUUUGGGGAACCAUGCGAUAUUAAGCUGUGCAUCCAUAGUGGUUCUGCAUUUACCUGUUGUCUCUGCUUUAAAUAAAAACAAUUGCCUUGA